CUUCAGUUACUUGUGCGGUCAUAUAAUUUCAGGAGCUCAGACCUCUAUUUGAGGAGUUACUACAGAUUCCAGCUAAAGUGGCGGUGACGUCACCACAACGCUUGUGCCAAGCUAUGUGCACCUUGAGGCCACGUGAAGCGUCGAAAGCCCGCUGGCAGGAGGUCACGGGGCAGACCCAGAUGCCACGGGUCGACUGACUGAGACGACUGGCUGAUGGAUAAAUAUAUUAGAGCAGACUUCGUAUCUCAGCAGUGUUGUUGUCGAGACAAGCUCAUCCGAGUCCAAGUCCAGUCCGAGACCAGAGUAGGUCAAGUUCAAGUCAAGACCGAGACCAGAAGAGGGUUGAGUAUGAGUCAAGACCAAUUAUUAUUUUAACAUUUAACAUUUCUGCUUUACAAAAUACAGUAUAACUGUAUAAUAACUAAAAUGGGCCUAAAACCAAACAAUAAUGUAUUAAAUAUGACAAUGUUUAUGCAGAAAGUGAUAUAAACAUUUACAUUAAAUUUGUUAACAAUUUCCUCAUUUGCACUACUAUAUUUCAUUCAUUGUAAAUCAAGAAAGCAUUUCUGCUUACUUUUGCCAGCAAGAUUUUAUUUCAGAAACCAUUCAAUUCUGAUGACAUUGAAAGAAGUAUUUUUACAUUUUCUUCAGUAUGUGUAGCAUUCAUGUAACUAAUGGCUAAAGCAUUUCUAAAAGACUAGAGGUCGUUCAGACCAGAGCAAGUGAGCGAAGCAGAGCAGUGUGACACUCUGCUCAAUAACCCAGUCCAUGCACGUGCGCUCUGCUCAGCCGCUCACGGCCCAAGCGGACGCUCCGCUCAAGUAAUGCUCACGCUCACUGGUAAAAAAGCGUUCACUCAAAUCCCGCUCCGACAUUAAAUUUCUCUGUAGUAUACUUGGUUCCAAAUACGUACACAGGGGGUAGCUACAGUGGCCCAAGCAACUGCCCCUUUGCCCACAUGGGCUGAGGUGCCCCUCUGGGUGAAAUAUAGACAAUAGGCCAAUAUUUUUUAAAUUAUUAAAUGAUUAAUGACGUACACAUCUGAAAUUAUGUGAUUGUAUUGUUGUGUUUUUGUAUAUAAAAUCUCGCUGUUUAUUUUGGACUGGUUUACAACUGCUGUUAGAUAAUUGGGUCUACCAGACCUUCGUUAUCAUUUGUAAUCAGUCAAAUAUUUCUGUUAGCACAUAUGUCAUCAACAUCUUCAAAUAACACCUUAAAAAAAAAUUCAGUUCUAAAUUACCAUUAUUUACUUUAAACAAGUCAUCAAACAUGCCUCUGCAAGUGAUAAAACAUAUGUGCGCUGGCACGGAAACUCGCAUACACGCAAAUUUGUGCUUUUCAGUUUAACUGGACCUGAGAGACACAAACGACCCAGAGAACUACAAUCUUUUCAACUUUAAAGUUUGUUCGAGUCCUUUUAUGGCAAUAAUGAAAACAUGGACUGGUACCAGGAAAAAUAUUGCAGGUAAAAGUGAAAUUCAUAAUUGUUCUUCAGUUGUCUCCACAGAACGAUAUUGUAGAUUUGAUACAUUAAUAGGUUUCUGAUUUAAUGCUAUCAGACUUUGGGUCUGUAAAUUAAAAUGAGCAAUUUCUCAUCCUAAAUUUCGUGUUCAGUUUUAAAGGGCGUAUUAAGUUAUCCAGAAAAGAGCAGUGAAUGUUUUUCUCUUUUUCAGUGUUGUUGCUUUAUUAAUAUUCCCUACAAUUUUAUAUGUACGAACGAAAUGCAAUAUAAAGGACUGUGGUUAUUUAUAUAAUAAUUAUUAUAUUAGUAGAUACCAUGUGCCCCCUUUGUUUUUCCUUAAUAUUUUUAAAGCAUUAUAAAAUAAAUCUGGACUUUAUAUGCGUCAAACGAUCAUGUGUUGUGCAUGCACGGUUUAUAUGUACAGCAGGGUUUAACCAUAGAUUUAACAAAUAAAAAAUAUUUGUGCUGCAUAAAGUGAGAUUUUGUCCAAUAUAUAUAUUAGAUGAAAUCAUGUUUAAUGAUCCCAAAACAUAAACAAAUUAUUCAAUUCACAAAUUAUACUGCCUUUUUUUUUCUAAAUGUACAAUCAUUAAUAGAUUUUUUCUCUGCGCAUGAAUGCAGCAAGCGAUGUCAAAGAUGUUAUCAGCAACCACUAAUCUAGAGUCAUCUAGAUUAAGCAGAAAUCGAAAACAACAGGCGGUCGAUUAAGUAAAAUAAUUCUGCUAUGAAAUUCUCUAUGCGAGAGCGGAAAUCUUUACUAAUCAAAUGAUCAAUUGUACAAUAGAGGCAUAAAAGCAGAAUGCUGCGCCAGCAAAUUAUGACACACUAAUCUGCAAGAUAAUACAUGUUUAUUAGUUUUGAUACAGGGACUUUUUGUGUGUGUUCGCCGGGAUUCAAGGAAAAAUGAUUUGCCAAUAUACAGUAUUAUUAAUCUUACAUAUUCAAUUGAGGGUGCUCUAACGUUCGCAACCCCGCAGAACCGGGCUUGCAUCUAGCUGGCAGCUGCACUGACAUGAUGGCAAAACAACAAGAUACCUUACUUAUCUAUUAAUUUAUUAUCGAAUAGUAGUGUAGUCUACUAGCUCACCUUUUGCUGCACUACCAUGUUCGCGUAGCACAUCCUCAUGCUCUGUGGCAAUGCGACACGUAUGACUCCAAAAGGGAUAUUUGCUAAUUCUCACAGUCUCUCCAAACUCCCUUUCGAUUACCUCGUUCUUGGCUUUGAUUUAUACUUUGCAUUUAUUUAGGUUAUAAGGUUUGCAACUUCACUAAAACAAUGUUAAAGCUCCAUAACAUCAGGACUAUUGCUUAUUUAGCAGAUUCCCAAACCAGCAUAUCACAAAGCGCAUUCUAGGUUGAGCGAGCGGCACUGAGCGGCCUGAGUGAGUGGAGCGGAAUCUUCAAAAAGGCGCUCUCUGCUCAGGUGAAAUUAUCACCGCUCCGCUCAUGCUCCGCACCGCUCACAUGCUCUGGUUCAGACCAAUGCUGUGCAACGAACCCAGAUAGGACACAUACGUCUCUGAGAUGUCUGUUUUAGAUCUUUUCAUCUGGAAAGCAUCUAACAUCUGCUUAAUAUCUUAAAAAGACAUCUGCAAUAAGCAAACAAUGUAAUAUAGACGUCUUCCAGAUGUAAACACAUACAUCAAAUAGACGUCUGGGUGUUGUGCUAUCAGGGAAAAGAAUAUAACACAAGUGUCUCAAGACACGUUUUUAACAGUUGAUGUUCUUUUUAACUUGACAAAAGAACUUUAAAAAAAACGUGGCGCUCCUGCACGAGACGCCAAAAACACAGCGAUACAUAAAGCAACGGUCAAAGACAUCUGUUUAGCAUGUUUACAUAGGAAAACAACUGAAAAACAGCAUCGGUGGACACAACCCCUUAUUAACAACACACAGCACCAAUGGAAGUUUCUCGAAGUUACCUCUCAAAAAAGCAGUCUUUUUUGACUGUAGGUAAAUAGCCACUUCAUCCAACGAACGAAUCGGACUGAAUAGCCAAUCAAUUCAGAACUUUUUGCUAACCUGUUUGGCCAAUUUGCUGAAAAGAACCGAUAGAAUAACGGUAACUCAACAGAAUGAUUUAUUUUUAUGAACUGGGCAUCACUAGUUCUGAUUCUACUCAGCAGAUUGAAAUGCAGGACAUGACGUCAAGAUCUCUGAUAUUAUCAGUCAAAAAUGUUGGUCAGAUAAGUGGAAGCUUUUCAAUGUAUAUUUUUUUGAAAAGGGACUCAACUGGACUCUGGGUUAAGCCUGAGUCCACACUUGUUCAAGUUCGAGUCAAGACUGAGUCAAAUUGCUCACAAGUCCAUGACAAGACCAAGACCUUGAAAAAAUGGUCUUGGACUCUGAUUUGAGACACUGUACCUCAGUGUGUUGAAAAAGUUGGGAAAUAUAAAUUGAUAGACAUUUCAAUGAUAAUAUUGUGUAGUAUGUAAUUUCCACAUUUGUUUUAUUUUUAUUUUUUAUUUUUUUUCUGGAGGGGAGCUUGAUGUGGAACUUUGUGUGUAUGUGUGUGUUUAGUAAAACCUAAAAAACACCUACAUUGUGGGGACUAGCCAUUAGGAAAACAGCUUAAUAAACAUACUAAAUUAUGUCUUAAUGAAAAUGUAAAAAUGUAGAAAGGUGUGUGAGGGUAAGGGUUAGGAGUUGGGGGACAGAAAAUAUUAUUAGUUGAGUAUAUAAGCAAUAGAAGUCAAUGGAAAUGAUAUCCAACCAUGAUAGAAAAACAAACAUGUGUGUGCGUUUGUGUGUGAUUUGCUUCUGUUUCAAUCUCAUUG